AUGGAAUAAACUAACUUUAAAUUAACAUUUGUACCUUAUGUUAUGGGUGCAAAUAUAAAGUUCAUGGAUGAGAUACCAUUUUAAAUAUCAGCUCCUACUGAAGAGGAUAUGGAAGACACACAGGGGAACCAAUAGCGGCGCUUGCCAUCCUUGUGGCCAUCAUCAAUCAUAGCAAGACCUUCAUCUAAUAAUGUAUCAAGGGCAUCAGUAGCACGACCAGAUGUCCAAGAAAGUCGCCCCUCUACCUCAUCAACAGUGACAUAGCCUUGAGCCUGAGCCAGCUCCAAAAUUUCAUUAUGGUCUUUGUUCAAUUCAGUUGGAACAGAUCGAACAAGCUUUCUUUUUCCAACAGAUAUCACCUCAAAACCGCUCCCUAGUAUCUUAAGCUUACUUAUAGCACGCAAGCAGUCAUCUUCGGAAACAGCUUCACGAUCAGUUUUUCGUUUCUGACGAAGUAGCAUGCAGAGUUCCUGAAGGUUGAUCAAACCUCCAUUGUGAGAUCUUGUUGCCAAGCAUAUCUCAACGAUUUGCACCCCAAGUUCGUAAUAGAAGUCACCAAUCCCUAACAGCUCUGCCCAAAAACCCUUAUUUGAGGCCAGUGGAUCCACUCCCACUUUAGCACACAUCUCGUGGAAUUGCGCCCUGAAAGUUGGGUUCUUGCGAAUAUCAUUCUUGUGUUUGCGGGCAAAUUCUUCUAGCUGGGAGCGAAAAGUGGCGAGCUGUUCUUUCAUAAGAUCAGUUCUUAACUUCGCUACAUUUUCUCCUAAUAAUCGAUAUUGGUCCCGAGCAGCAGCAGCUGUUUGUAACCCGCCAAUUCCAGGCCUCCUUCUCAUUCUUCUCUAAAGAUUGCCCCUUUGUAUUAUGGGUUUG
rnacentral:misc_RNA from 1 species